rnacentral:rRNA from 1 species
AAACUUGAGAGUUUGAUCCUGGCUCAGAACGAACGCUGGCGGCAUGCCUAACACAUGCAAGUCGAACGAACCCUUCGGGGUUAGUGGCGCACGGGUGCGUAACGCGUGGGAACCUGCCUUUAGGUUCGGAAUAACUCAGAGAAAUUUGAGCUAAUACCGGAUAAUGUCUUCGGACCAAAGAUUUAUCGCCUUUAGAUGGGCCCGCGUUAGAUUAGAUAGUUGGUGGGGUAACGGCCUACCAAGUCUACGAUCUAUAGCUGGUUUUAGAGGAUGAUCAGCAACACUGGGACUGAGACACGGCCCAGACUCCUACGGGAGGCAGCAGUGGGGAAUCUUAGACUAUGGGGGAAACCCUGAUCUAGCCAUGCCGCGUGAGUGACGAAGGCCCUAGGGUCGUAAAGCUCUUUCGCCAGGGAUGAUAAUGACAGUACCUGGUAAAGAAACCCCGGCUAACUCCGUGCCAGCAGCCGCGGUAAUACGGAGGGGGUUAGCGUUGUUCGGAAUUACUGGGCGUAAAGCGCACGUAGGCGGACUAUUAAGUCAGGGGUGAAAUCCCGGGGCUCAA